rnacentral:rRNA from 1 species
ACGAACGCUGGCGGCGUGCCUAAUACAUGCAAGUCGAACGAAACUUUCUUACACCGAAUGCUUGCAUUCACCGUAAGAAGUUGAGUGGCGGACGGGUGAGUAACACGUGGGUAACCUGCCUAAAAGAAGGGGAUAACACUUGGAAACAGGUGCUAAUACCGUAUAUCUCUAAGGAUCGCAUGAUCCUUAGAUGAAAGAUGGUUCUGCUAUCGCUUUUAGAUGGACCCGCGGCGUAUUAACUAGUUGGUGGGGUAACGGCCUACCAAGGUGAUGAUACGUAGCCGAACUGAGAGGUUGAUCGGCCACAUUGGGACUGAGACACGGCCCAAACUCCUACGGGAGGCAGCAGUAGGGAAUCUUCCACAAUGGACGCAAGUCUGAUGGAGCAACGCCGCGUGAGUGAAGAAGGUCUUCGGAUCGUAAAACUCUGUUGUUAGAGAAGAACACGAGUGAGAGUAACUGUUCAUUCGAUGACGGUAUCUAACCAGCAAGUCACGGCUAACUACGUGCCAGCAGCCGCGGUAAUACGUAGGUGGCAAGCGUUGUCCGGAUUUAUUGGGCGUAAAGGGAACGCAGGCGGUCUUUUAAGUCUGAUGUGAAAGCCUUCGGCUUAACCGGAGUAGUGCAUUGGAAACUGGAAGACUUGAGUGCAGAAGAGGAGAGUGGAACUCCAUGUGUAGCGGUGAAAUGCGUAGAUAUAUGGAAGAACACCAGUGGCGAAAGCGGCUCUCUGGUCUGUAACUGACGCUGAGGUUCGAAAGCGUGGGUAGCAAACAGGAUUAGAUACCCUGGUAGUCCACGCCGUAAACGAUGAAUGCUAGGUGUUGGAGGGUUUCCGCCCUUCAGUGCCGCAGCUAACGCAAUAAGCAUUCCGCCUGGGGAGUACGACCGCAAGGUUGAAACUCAAAGGAAUUGACGGGGGCCCGCACAAGCAGUGGAGUAUGUGGUUUAAUUCGAAGCAACGCGAAGAACCUUACCAGGUCUUGACAUCCGAUGCAUAGUGCAGAGAUGCAUGAAGUCCUUCGGGACAUCGAGACAGGUGGUGCAUGGUUGUCGUCAGCUCGUGUCGUGAGAUGUUGGGUUAAGUCCCGCAACGAGCGCAACCCUUGUUGUCAGUUGCCAGCAUUAAGUUGGGCACUCUGGCGAGACUGCCGGUGACAAACCGGAGGAAGGUGGGGACGACGUCAAGUCAUCAUGCCCCUUAUGACCUGGGCUACACACGUGCUACAAUGGACGGUACAACGAGUCGCGAGACCGCGAGGUUUAGCUAAUCUCUUAAAGCCGUUCUCAGUUCGGAUUGUAGGCUGCAACUCGCCUACAUGAAGUCGGAAUCGCUAGUAAUCGCGAAUCAGCAUGUCGCGGUGAAUACGUUCCCGGGCCUUGUACACACCGCCCGUCACACCAUGAGAGUUUGUAACACCCAAAGCCGGUGGGGUAACCGCAAGGAGCCAGCCGUCUAAGGUGGGACAGAUGAUUGGGGUG